rnacentral:rRNA from 1 species
AGCAGCCGCGGUAAUUCCAGCUCCAAUAGCGUAUAUUAAAGUUGUUGCAGUUAAAAAGCUCGUAGUUGAAUUUCGGGGUUAAUAAGUUGGUCGUACCUAUGGUAUGUACUGGCUUUAUUGAUUCCUACCUCUUGACGAACUGUGAUGCCAUUAAUUUGGUGUUGCAAGGAAUCAGGACUGUUACCUUGAAAAAAUUAGAGUGUUUAAAGCAGGCUUAACGCUUGAAUACAUUAGCAUGG